UCGAAAGUGAAUGUCAGCCAGCGUAGAUGUCAGUUAUUAAACCACGUUGUAAAUAUUAUUGCCAGCUUUUGUUUUAUCAUCAGACGACUUAAUAAAUUUAUGAAGUUGUCUGUGUGUCAAAAAAAGAGUGUCGUUUCGUCAGUAGGAAGAUGGUAGUUGCGUUGUGACUGAAAUCUAUGUAUUUAAGAGUAUGUGAAAUGUAAUUUUUGCAUGCUAGGAAACAUUACACAGCACUAAGCAUCGGCAGUGUUUGUUGACGGGGAGUGAAGUACAUCUGACGACAAGCAACAGCUGGAAUAGUUUGCCAUGUUCUGUAGCCACCAAACACGUCUGGGAGGAAGCUUUUGUGCAUCUUCCAUGUAAAUUGUCAAUGUGGUAUAUUUGUUCGGGUUUUUUAUCCUUUUGCAUCGCCAGCAGAGUUCAUAAAUGCCAAAACCCUACUGCAGAUUACAGUCACUGCAUGUUAAGAAUAAGAAUCACAAAAUAACCUUUAAAUUUUAUAGGACUUAAGUGAUAUCGACGAGGAUUAAUAAUGAAGAUUAAAAAGUUUUUUCUGAAUAUAGUAUUAAAGAUAUGGCACAGUUUUCUCGCUGUUUGGAAUUGGUUCCGCGAUAGGAAGGAAAGUUCAGUCCAAAUUCUGCAUUUAAGUAAAAAUUUUAUUAUUGCAAAUAAAUCUUAUGACGUUGUCAUGAACAGUGAUGAUCCAUCUGUUAAGGUUUCUUUACAACUGCAGCUACGAAAGUUACAUCCAGAAUUAAUAAACCAGAAGCUUGCACAUGACUUUCACUUCGUGCAUCGUUUGGACUUUGCAACAAGUGGUGCUGUUUGUAUUGCUUUACACAAACGUGCAGCAAAAGCAGCUGCAACAGCUUUUGAAACAAGAAAAACCAAAAAGUAUUAUGUGGCCAUUGUUCGAGGACAUGUUGCUAAAGAGCUUAUGGACAUUACAGAUCCAAUUGGUGAAGACAAAAGGGAACGACAUGGUAACCAUCGCAUGUGUCUGGCUUCUGAUCCUAACAGCUGUUACCCAAAAUUUGCACAUACGCGAUUGCUAGUUCUUCAGCGUGGGCUUUAUGGAACAUAUCCAGCCACAAAAGUAUUGUUAAGGCCAGUCACUGGAAGAAGGCAUCAGCUGCGCGUUCAUUGCAUGAGCAUAGGUCACACCAUUGUUGGAGAUUACACGUAUAGUAAUAAAAACGAUAGUUUACCAACUCGAAUGUAUUUACAUUCUUAUAGGCUGGUUAUACCAAAUGACAUUGAAUCUAUAGAUAUUCAGACUGCAGAUCCAUUCGAAAAUGAAAAUAAUCCACACACAUGGAUGGUGGUAGAAGCUUUAAAUGACUUAGAUGAAAAUGUAUUCAAGAAAUUGGACACCCAAGACUGAAGGUCUAAUUUCUUGAUGGGAUCUAUGGACAUGCGUGAAUGAAUGAAAAAGAUAAAUUUACUUUGCAUAGAGGUAAUUGAAGUGACACAUUGGGUCAGACAGUGGGUUUAAUUCCCUGUAAAAGUUAAUGAAGUGUUGUCCAUUAACGUAUGUCUCCCUACUGCAAGGAAUUGUUCCAGGAAGAAAUAUGUGAGCUGAAUUGCACACCGGAAAGUGCAGUUUGAGCAAGCUACAUUAUUGCACUGAAAACUGCAAAAACUGGAAGACCUUUUAUGAAUGGCUAAUUUGUAAAAGAGUGUUUUGUAGAGUGUUUGGAGGUAAUGUAGAGUGUUUGGAGGUAAUACACCCAUCUAUAGUGGCCCAGUUUGAGGCGGUAAGCUUGUCUGAACAUACAAUUUCUCGAAGAGUGCAAGAAAUUGGUGCAGAAUUAAAGGAGCAGUUUUGCAGUAAAUGUUGUAUGUUUGUAGAGUACUUGAUUGCCUUUGAUGAGAGCACUGACAAUCACAGCAGAGCUCAACUUACAAUUUUUGUAAGGGGGUUUCAAAAAAGAUUUCAUUGUUACUGAGGAACUGUUGCAUGUAAUUUCUUUGAAAAAUGUCACAAUCGGGGAAGAUAUUUUCCUGGCUGUAGAGGUGGUUUUGAACAAUAUACAGUUGUUACUCGAGUGCCUAUACAGCAUUUCAAUUGAUGGGGCCCCUGCAAUGUUGUUGGAAGGGGUAGAUUUUGUAGGAAAUAUGAAAAAAAAAAGUACACAAAUCUGAGCUUCCCCCAGUUUUGACAGUACACUGUCUUUUACAUCAAGAACAGCUAAGUGCAAAAGUUUUCCACAAGUUUAGGUCCAUCGUAGAUAAUGUUGCAAAAAUUGUGAGGUUUUGUAGACAGCAAAGCUUGAAUCAUCGGGAAUUUAAAGGAUUCUUGGAGGAUAUUUAAUCAGUUCACAAAGAUAUGCCUUUUUAAUUGUGCUGCACAACGGUUAAGUUGCUCAAAAGUACUCUGUCUUUUUUCAUUUGAGACAAGAAAUAGCUCUGUUUGUUGAUAGGAAAGGUUUUCUACAGCCAGACUUGGAUGAUGAGCAACGUAUCGCUAACCUCGCUGUCAUGAAAGACGAACAUGGGGUUGCAAGCUAAAAAUAAAUUAAUCAGUGCUAUGUGUGACUAUACUGAAAGUUUCAUAUUGCAUCAUUUGCUUUUUAAAAGCCAGCUUCAAUGAGGAAAUUUGUACAGUUUUCCCCUCCCUAAAAUUCUUGAAUUUAGGUACUUAUGAAGACGUAAACAGAGUAAAAUCUGCACUCAAAGUGUUUGUGAUGCCAUUUUCAGUGUGUGCCCAGAGGAUGCCCCAUCAAGCCUCCAAGUUGAGCUGAUAAAACUAAAGUCCAAUUCAGUUUUGAUAGACUGCUAUUAUCAUUAUGAUGGUGAUUUGAUUUCAUUGUAUAACUAGGCACUGAUCAACAAGAAUUCCCGAGGAUUCACACCCUUGCCCUGAAAUAUAUAGCUAUGCUUGGGACAACAUUAGUUUGUGAACAAAUGUUUUCAAUUAUGAAUAUUAACAAAACAAAACAAGGUUAAGUUCAUCUGAUGCUUUGUUGGAAGCUAUGCUUCAAACUUGCAACUGCCAAAAUGAUUGUUCCAAAUAUCGGAAAAUUAGUGGCUUCAAAAUGGUGUCAAAGAUAAACAAAGAAUGUUGUAAAUUAGUGCAAAAU